rnacentral:misc_RNA from 1 species
GAAAUGCGAUACGCAAUGUGAAUUGCAGAAUUCAGUGAAUCAUUAGACUGCUGAACGCAUACUGCACUCAUGGGAUAUGCCUGUGAGUACGCCUGCCUCAGUGUCUCCGAAUCCUCCUGAUACACAAUUCCUUUUCAUUUGUUCGCAAUUGAUUAGGUAAUCAUGUGUUGUUAUCAGCGUUACAGCUUUGUAUCGCUGCAAGUUUUCGUCUGUUCAGCUUCGAGCAAUGUAGUGUCACACACAAUCAUUGCUCGUCAUUGAAUACACAGACCAAGCAACUUUCUAACAAAGACCUGAGAUCAGACGAGAUUACCCGCUGAAUUUAA